ACAGAACUCUACUAGGAGCUUUACAUAAAUACAGUCUUACUGUGAACCCUGGCUUAGAAGUGAUACAGAUGUGUCCUGGUAAAUCAAGAAAGAAAUUACUGUCAAAGUGGGAGGACAAGCACACUGUAUAACAGCUCUGGAGGAAUCAUAGAAUGGCUUGGGUUGGAAGAGAUCCCAAGGAUCAUUGAGUUCCAACCCCCUGCCACAGGCGGAUCCACCAACCUCCAGAUCUGGCACUAGACCAGACUGCCCAGGGCCCCAUCCAACCUGUCUUGAACACCUCCAAGGGAUGAGGCAUCCACAGCCACUCUGGGCAGCCUGUUCCAGAUGUACACACGAUUUAAAUAUCAAUAACAAUACUUUCAAUUACGGUCUACAGCUGCUAUCUACAAUACCUGAAGAAAAAUACUGCUUUGUGGAAGCAUCUGCCACCCAGACACUCCAGUGCUUGAGCUACAAGUCUCUGUUGUUUCCAUGUAGCUCUGAAUGAGUCUGUUUGUUGAAACUCUGUUACAAAUACAGACUGUACAAAAGAAAUGCAGCUAUGAGGAUGUGGCCAAUAGCUUCAUCAGGAAGCUAUUUCACUCGUCAUUUGUUGCAGUUCGCUUCUGGAUGUUCCUUGGAUCUUCUGGCACAUGGCUGUAGGGAUAGAGGUAAGCAACCCUCUGCCCUGUAACGUGGAACAUGGGCUCUGCCAGUAGGGGCCAUCUUAGAUAGAAUUACAGAACCAUAAAAUGGCUUGGGUUGGAAGGGACCUCAAGGAUCAUCAAGCUCCAAUCAUUGCCCAACUAUGCUUGUGCCUCCCCUUGGCUGGGGAAGGUUUUUCUGCAAUGUAAUAUAAGCAAACAGACAAUUAAAAAGGGAAAUAUCCUAUAGAUGCACAAAGGGACCUCACUGAGGGUUUGUUAGUAACUUGCUUCUGAGAGAGAUUUACAGUUUGGACCAAAGUACCAACUGGACAUAUUUAUCAUAAUUUUAUUGACUAGAUUGUUUGACUUUAUGUGGUAGGAUUAUUUCUAAACUUGAUUUAGGUUGGUUUUUUUUUUUGUUUGUUUUUUGUUUGUUUUGUUUUUCCAUUUGUUUGUUUGGAACACAGUGGUCUAAUGAAGCCACUGUUAUUACUCAGUUUUCUUUAUUUCAUCUACAUAUAAUAAUGACAGUAAAUAAUAAUAAGUAACAUAUUAUAUCUUCCUUCAGUGAGAAAAAUAAACGUACAUAAAACAG
ensembl:lncRNA